GCAGAGACAUUCCAGCCAAUCAGCAGCAGACCCUCCCUCCCAGACCCUCCCACCUCCUGGACAGCAUCCAUUUUACAUUCUUAGUGAGCUGUCCAGGAGGUGGGAGGGUCUGGGAGGGAGGGUCUGCUGCUGAUUGGCUGGAAUGUGUCUG